rnacentral:rRNA from 1 species
GAUGAACGCUGGCGGCGUGCCUAAUACAUGCCAGUCGAGCGAACGGACGAGAAGCUUGCUUUUCUGAUGUUAGCGGCGGACGGGUGAGUAACACGUGGAUAACCUACCUAUAAGACUGGGAUAACUUCGGGAAACCGGAGCUAAUACCGGAUAAUAUUUUGAACCGCAUGGUUCAAAAGUGAAAGACGGUCUUGCUGUCACUUAUAGAUGGAUCCGCGCUGCAUUAGCUAGUUGGUAAGGUAACGGCUUACCAAGGCAACGAUGCAUAGCCGACCUGAGAGGGUGAUCGGCCACACUGGAACUGAGACACGGUCCAGACUCCUACGGGAGGCAGCAGUAGGGAAUCUUCCGCAAUGGGCGAAAGCCUGACGGAGCAACGCCGCGUGAGUGAUGAAGGUCUUCGGAUCGUAAAACUCUGUUAUUAGGGAAGAACAUGUGUGUAAGUAACUGUGCACAUCUUGACGGUACCUAAUCAGAAAGCCACGGCUAACUACGUG